UACGUAGGGUGCAAGCGUUGUCCGGAAUUAUUGGGCGUAAAAGAGCUCGUAGGCGGUGUGUCACGUCGUUCGUGAAAAACCUGCAGCUUAACUGUGGGCGUGCGGUCGAUACGGGGCAUCACUGGAGUUCGGCAGGGGGAGACUGGAAUUCCUGGUGUAGCGGUGAAAAUGCGCAGAUAUCAGGGAGGGAAACACCCGGGUGGGCGAAAGGCGGGGUCUCUGGGGCCCGAUACUGACGCUGAGGAGCGAAAAGCGUGGGGGAGCAAAACAGG
rnacentral:rRNA from 1 species